AAACUUCCGCCUCAUUCUCACUUUCCUUUUAUCCUUGUCGUCCAUAUGCUCCCAUCCGGCGGCCGUUAGAACCUCCAGCUUCGCCGUCUUCUCCUAUGGGUUUGGUUCCUUCUUGCUCCACCCUUCCUCCACUUUCUGCCGCUCACACAAAAGAAUUCACUACUAAAAGGUAACUCUUCUCCCUUCCUUUAUUUUGCCUUAUUUUCCAUUUCUUGAUAUUUAAUCAGUGGUUGUCUUUGUUUAUGAAGUACUGUGAAGUCCACCAGUGUGGGGAAAUCUUGGAGGUAGCUAUCCGGAGUGUGCAAUAUGAACACAGGUUCCUCCUCUCCUUCUUUAGUAUUGCACUUUCCCCCCUUUAGAUAUGACCAUGCUUUCUUUUCUUUCUCUCCUUUUGAACUGUUCGAGUUGAAUUUGUGCUUCAAGCACACGUUUACUUUGGUUCGAGCUGACCUCCAUGCUUUCUUGUUAUAGAUGAUGUUUUACCCCUGCCUGUUUGGUGAAAGUUUUUGCGUGCUAAUGUAGAUUAGUAAAAGCUUUGUUAAUGUAGCUAUAAUGACCCCCACCCCCUUAUGUGGGCAUUCUCUUAUGUAAUUAUUUAUGUUGCACCCCUUCCUUUCCAGAUUAAGAACUUGAUUCUGAUUUGUCAUGUGGUUUUUAUCCUGAUGGAUGACAUCUGUGCUUUAUCAAUAUUAAUGAUGUGCUUUCUUGUUGUUGUUAAUUCCGCAAACUCUCUGAAUUCCUUUUUGUCUGUGCUAAUGAUAGCUGGAUUAGCUAAAUAAUCCGCCAUUUGAUUGCCCUCCCUGAAAAUAUAUUGAACUGUAACAUUUUGUUGUUGUACUUCUCUGAUUAUUUCAUCCAUGAUUUCUGCAAUUUCCCAUGGUACUCUCCGUGUCUGUUGAAUAAUGUUCUUUAGAGUGAGUGAAUCCAUUUUAAUAACCAUGUUCUGUAAACUAUUCAUUGCACUAAACCUUAAGGCCUCUUGUAUUGCUCUUGCCUCCGCUUCUAUAUUCAUAGCAAUACUAAUUCCGUUUGCAUAGAUGAGGUCUCCAGUUUUGUUUCUUAUGCAGAAACCAUACGCACUCUCCCCUGGAUUUCCUUUACUUGCACCAUAUGUAUUACACUUCAAUUGAUCUUUCUUUGGUAGCUUCCAUUUUACAAUCUGGUCGUAAAUCCUUGACUUAUAAGCUCAUAUUAUUUUCACCAUUUCAGGCCAAGAUUUCCCAGUUAUUUUGAACUUUUAAUUGUUAACUAUCACCAUCAAUUAAAUGCUCCUUCCCACUUGUUGUAACAACUCUUCAAAGGUGGACUGACCUCCAUGCUUGAUAUGGUUCCUUUUCUUCAACAAAUUCCACAUAAUGAGAGCUGGCAUAACUCUAAAGAUAUGUUUGAGUUUUGUAGGAGCUUCCACAUACCACUAGCUCUUGAUCAUCUACAUCAAAUUUCUGCCUCCUGUGUCCAAACCUGCUCAUGAAGCAAAAUACUUCCAAAGCUUUUGGGCAAUGUUAGAUGUUAGAAAAAGAUUUGACAUUGUUUCCAUUUGUUGUGUCUCAUAACACCAACACUGGAGACAAUGUUCAUUCUCAUUCCCCUUAAAUUGUCAUAUGUGGCAAUCCUCCCUUUCCACGCCCUCCAUAAAAAGAAAGUAAUCUAAAAAGGCAAGCUUUUCAUUCAAAUCAUAUCAUAUGAUUCCUCCAUCUCCUUUUUCUUUCUCAUUAAAUCCCAAUAUGAUUUAACUGAAAAGAAACCCUUUGAGUUUUCCAUCCACCAAGGUUUAUCCCGAUCUCCUGUAUUCAUUACCGGAGAGAUAGAACUCACAAUGUGAUCAAUCAUUUCUUCAGAAAUAUACUGUAGGAGUUUCCUCCUAUCCCACUGAUUUCUAUAAUAAGAUUUUUCACCUCCAGCUCCUUCUCCCCCCUUUUAUUUUCUUCCACAUAGUACCAUGCCCCUUGUUUUGUCCAAUCAUCUUUCUCCAUACAUGAGAUGCCCCAUGUCUCUGUGCCAUUAUUGGAUGCCAUUUUUUUUACAAUAUUUGUUCCACAUAUAUUCACUCCACAAAGAAUUAGUGGAUGUUCUGAAUAUCCAUCAUAAUUUAGCAAAUAGAGCAUCUGAUACGUCAUGCAUCGAUCUAAAACCCUCUUAUUUUGGUAAGCACAUUGUUUCCCAAGCAAUCUAGUGUUUCCCUUUUACUCCUCUUAUGUGACCCCAAAAAAACUUUGCCAUAAUCUUAUGAAUCUGAUUUAUUACACCCUUGGGAGGAUUCAUAGCAGACAUAAGAUAAAUAGGCAUUGCUUGUAAAAUAUGAGCUAUUAAAACAUACAUUCCCCCAUAAGUCAAAAGUUGAUUCUGCCAUCCCAUCACUCUUUUGGCAACUUUCUUUAUCAGCUCUUCAAAAUAUGACUUCUUUCUUCUCCCGUAAAAAUUGGGCAUCCAAGAUACGUAAAAAGAAAGACUCCUUGUGAGAUUCCAGUAGUUCUUUUAAUCUUCUGACAAACUGAAGAAGGAACCUUUUCAUGCAGAUAUACAUAGCUUUUGUUCAGGUUUAUGAGCUGCCCUGACACAUAUUCAAAUCUCCGUAGAAUCUUCAUCAUUUUUUUCAUUGACCUCUUAUGCCAUGAAUAAUAAAGGAUUGUAUCAUCCCCAUAAGACAAAUGAUUAAUCUCUCUACUCCAUUUAGGCAUCCAAAUCUCUUGAAUUCUGAAUCCUCAUUUAGCCUGUUGAGACUUCUACCUAAUACAUACCUCCGCUGUUAUGAUGAAUAAAGUGGGGGAGAGGGGAUCACAUUGCUUCAGUCCCAAGAAGAUUGAAAAAACCAAAAGAUUGGCCAUUAAUUAACACGGAGUACCAGUUAUUAGAUAUUAAUCUCCACACCAUAUAAAUAAUCCUCUCAUCAAACCAAAAUCUUCUCAUAACUUGAAUAAAAAAUAUCCCUGACACCCUAUCAUACGCUUCAGUCAUAUCCAACUUCACCACAACGUUAUGGUAUUCAUUCCUCUUGUUUAUGUCUCUAAUUAUCUUUUGCCCUUGUAAAACAUUUUCAACAAUACUUCUUCCUUUCAUAAACCCCGACUGAUUUAGGCAGAACCCGAAUUAUUCUUUCAUGCAGUACCUUUGACAAAUCUUAUUAGCAAAAGAGCUCAAGCUGAUAGAUCAUAAAUUUGAUCUUCUCCGAAAUUAGAACUACAUUCGUGUGAGAAAUAUAUUGGUAUUUCCCCACCACAAAAAAUAACCAUCACCAUCAGCCUUAUAUCAUUCUUUAUAAUCUCCCAACAUGUUAGAAAAAAUUCUUCUAAAAAUCCAUUAGGCCCACAUAUGUUCACUUUAUUCAAGUUGAACACUGCUUCCUUAACUUCUUCCUCUGUAGGCGCUCUUGUCAUUUCGAUAUUCUAUUUUGUAGUUAUACUUCUUUCGAGCAUUGCUUGAUCCUCAUAUCAUUGACCCUCUUUAAAUUAUUCUCUAACAUUAACUACUUUCUCUCCUAUGUUUUGAGUGGUACGUAUCGUAUCCCCCGCUGUCUAAAUUUCGUUAAUCAUCGGUUUCCUCAUGCCUUUCACAUAUGAAUGAAAAAACUUCGUAUUUCUUUCUCCUUCUUUGAAUCAUGGCAUCCCAUUCUUUUGUUUCUAGUAAUUCUCUUCUAGUUGAUUAUAUUGUCUUAUAGAAUCUUCAACUUUAGCUAAAUCCUCUUUAUUUGCCAUUGAAGGGUUCAUUAGCAAUAUCCUCCAAAGUGGCUAUCGUCACAAAAAUAUUCCCAUAUAUUUCUUUACUCCACUGCAUCUCGCAUACACUGUUGUUAUGAUAAUAUCCAACUUCAAGAAGUCUUUUGCUCCAACUUCCAUCUUUUUUCAUCAUUUUUUAUCAAAUACUUGAUUGCUUGACUUCUUUAGCUCCAAGUUCUGAAAUUCACCAAUUUAAGUUAGUUUAGAUUAUUAAAUUAUACUAAGGACACUUAAAACUCAAGAAAAAAGGUAAUUCAUAUGUUGGUAAUUUGUCAACUUACCACUUAUAUGAGGCUUAUGACAUUGAGGAAAGAAAAAGAAAAGGCUCUCACAUCAAGUUUCUCUAGAAGCUCCUCAUUAGAAGAUGGGGGGUUGUUCAAGUAGUUCUUUCCCAACUUCAAGAAGUCUUUUGUUGCAUUCCUCCUCAAAACAGAAGCACGAGCCAGGGAAACCAUUUUCUUUUUUCACAGCACACAAAGAACAAGAAGAGCACUACAAUUUUGAAACCAGGUUUUAAGUCUCAAAAACCCAAAAGAAAUCACCAGAGAGUAAAGGGAAAAAUGGAAGUGCAGAAAGACCUAAAAGGUAACGUCAGAUACUAGUUUCUAAAGAAAAAGUAAGAGAGAAAGAGAAAAAGCAUGGGUUAAAUGAAAAAUGGAGCACAUACAUCAUAGGCAACACAUAUAUGUCAAUGAGUGAGUAGGCUAUUUGACAGAUGUGCGCUGCCUAUGGUGUAUGCGCUCCAUUUUUCAUAUAACCCCUUCUUUUCUCUCCAUCUCGCUUACUUGUUCUUUGUAAACUACUAUAUGGCGUUACCUUUUAGGUAUUUCUACACUUCCAUUUUUUCCUUUGCUCUCUGGUGAAUUCUUUUGGGGUUUUGAGACUUAAAACCUGGUUUCAAAAUUGCGGUUCUCUUCUUGUUCUUUGUCUGCUGUGAAAAAAUGAAAUGGUUUCCCUGACACGUGCUUCUGUUUCUGAGUAGGAAUGUAACAAAAUACUUCUUGAAGUUGGCAAAUAGCUGCUUCAGCAUCCCCAUCUUCCAAAGAGGAGCUUCUGGAGAAGCUUGAUGUGCGAGCCUUUUCUUUUUCUUUCCUCAAUGUCAUAAGCCUUGUAUAAGACGUAAGUUGACAAACUUACCAACAUAUGAAUUACCUUUUUUUCUUGAGUUCUUAGUGUCUUUGAGUAUAAUUUAAUAACCUAAACUAACUUAAAUUGGUGAAUUUCAGGACUUGGAGCUAAAGAAGUCAAGCAAUCAAGUAUUUGAUCAAGAAUGAUGAAAAAAAUGGAAGUUGGAGCAAAAGAAUAAUAAAAGUAGAGAUUGAGAAGUCAUAAAAAUCGUGCCCAAGUUUAGUUUUCGUGGAGCUGUUUAUGAGGGUAGAAGAGCUUGAAUUUGGCCAAGUCUGAAAAAGGAACAAGUCUGUCUCACUCCACGAAUGAAAAUGGGGAGACGAAAAUUGGAAUGUCUCCACGAUUUUGCCCCAUGAAAUUGGCAGCGGAAGGUCAUCUUUGUCCAGAUUUUGAGAGUUAUUUAAAUAUAUAUUAGACCAUUUUUCUUGGGGAGCUGUUGAUUUGAGCAGUCUAGGAGGAGUAUCUCUAGUUAACUUUGCAAGGAUUAAGAGAUUUUCACUAUAGAGUUUGCAUCUUCUUAUUUGUUUAAUCUUGAACUAUGUUUAUUAUUAUAUUGUAUUUUCUUCUUCUAGUAUGAGUAGCUAAACCUAUUAGUUGUAGACUUUUAUGUGAUUGAAUACUAGGUUAUCUUGCUUAUUAUUAUUUGGGUUGUGAUUAUCUACUCGUUUACAGUCUUAUUUGUGAGGUUGCAAACACUAGAUUUAGCCCUAUAUAUUCAUUUCUUGCUCGGAAGGGUGACACUUGAAUUGGAUCUAGCAUUGAUUUUCAGAUCAAUAUUAUCCAUAAAUGGUGGUAAAUAUAUACAAUUUGAUUUAUAAUGGAUUGUAACGUUUGUUUUGAUUAUAUAUGAAACCUACAAUUAAAAUACCAUAAUUU
rnacentral:lncRNA from 1 species